AGAGUUUGAUCCUGGCUCAGAUUGAACGCUGGCGACGUGCUUAACACAUGCAAGUCGUGCGAGAAAGUAGGCUUCGGUCUAUGAGUAGAGCGGCGCACGGGUGGGUAACGCGUGGAUGAUCUACCCUUGAGUUCGGGAUAACGGUGCGAAAGCGCCGCUAAUACCGUAUAACAAUCCAUUUCAUCGUGGGUUCAAAGCAGGCCUCUUCGUGAAAGCUUGCGCUUGGGGAUGAGUCCGCGUCCCAUUAGCUUGUUGGCGGGUAACGGCCCACCAAGGCUACGAUGGGUAGCUGGUCUGAGAGGAUGAUCAGCCACACUGGAACUGAAACACGGUCCAG
rnacentral:rRNA from 1 species